rnacentral:lncRNA from 1 species
CGCGCAUGGCGGCGGCGGUGGCGAGGAGGUGGCGGUGCUGAGGGGCGGAGGAUUUGGCGUAGCGGUCCAUGAGCUGUUGGCAGACGUCGGCGCCGUCUCGCAGCGGUUCGUCGGCGUGGUCGUGCUCCAUCUGUUGAUCCUGUGGAAGCAACGAGGGUCGCUCUUCCUGUUUCCGCUGUCUGUGCUUUGUGGCUUCAUGGCGGCAGCCGGCGGCGGCGGUGGAUGCUUCGAUUGCCGCCGUGCGGUGGCUUCUCCCGGCUGUGGAAUGUUUCGGGGUAAGAAAUUUGCCUUUGAUGCUUAAUCCAUGUUUUUUCAUAUUUUUACGAUAACUAAAACUCAGGGGGUCGU